rnacentral:rRNA from 1 species
CAGCACCUCAAGUGGUCAGGAUGAUUAUUGGGCCUAAAGCAUCCGUAGCCGGCUCUGUAAGUUUUCGGUUAAAUCUGUACGCUCAACGUACAGGCUGCCGGGAAUACUGCAGAGCUAGGGAGUGGGAGAGGUAGACGGUACUCGGUAGGAAGGGGUAAAAUCCUUUGAUCUAUUAAUGACCACCUGUGGCGAAGGCGGUCUACCAGAACACGUCCGACGGUGAGGGAUGAAAGCUGGGGGAGCAAACCGGAUUAGAUACCCGAGUAGUCC